GGGAAGUGCGUCGGUAGGGGAGGGCUCACCUCUCCAGGUUGAAACGAUGGCGGUCAGAACCGCCUGAGCUAAAUGCAAGAUGGUAUGGCAUCCAGACUCUGCUCAUAAGUAUCUGCAGUGAUCCAUACCUUGAUUGUACAUCUACUCUGCAUCCUGAGGACCUGAACAUGCUAACUGGUGGCUGCAGAUUUGUCUUCUAAGGAGCAAGUGUGGUCUGUGGACAGGCAGCUUCAGCCUCACCUGGGAUUUUGUUUGCACUAGAAAGUGCCAAGCCCUACCCUAGACCUAUUAAAGCAGAACUGGCGUUUAACAAGACACCCCAGAAUUAUGAAAACUAAAGCUAUUUACAGCUUUUAACAAUUGAGUAAAGUAUACUGUUACCAGAAUUGGGAGCAUAUUUGUUUCUCUCUACCUGGUUUCUCCAGAAUUUGGAAACUAUUUAGUCACUGAAAACUAAGCUGUGUUUUCUUAAAACCCUGCAAACUGAAGCCAGACAACUUGAACUUCAGAAGAAAAUAACAGCAACCUAUUUACGUACAUAAGCCACUUUCAUACCUGCCUACUAAUGUAUGGACUUCAGAGUAAUGUGGCUUAUAUCGAUUUUUCUAGGAUUGUUCUUUUGUUUGUUGUUGUUUUUUCUCCCUUCCUCCCUGCUAUUUUCUCUUCACAGAAUGUGAGACUUCACAACCUACUAAAAAUGAGCUUUUGGGACUUACCCAUCUAGGAAUAAACCAUCAUAGCUAUGAGAAAUCA
rnacentral:lncRNA from 1 species